UACGUAGGAGGCGAGCGUUGUCCGGAUUCACUGGGCGUAAAGGGCGCGCAGGCGGCUGCUCAAGUCAGGCGUGAAAGGCCUGGGCUCAACCUGGGAACCGCGCUUGAGACUGGCACGCUCGAGUUCGGGAGAGGAUGGUGGAAUUCCCAGUGUAGAGGUGAAAUUCGUAGAUAUUGGGAAGAACACCGAUGGCGAAGGCAGCCAUCUGGACCGACACUGACGCUGAGGCGCGAAAGCGUGGGGAGCAAACAGG
rnacentral:rRNA from 1 species